rnacentral:misc_RNA from 1 species
UCUUCGUAGGUGAACCUGCGGAGGGAUUAUUACUGAGUGAGGGCCUCCCCGGCCCGACCUCCAACCCUUUGUGAACACAACUUGUUGCUUCGGGGGCGACCCUGCCGUUCGCGGCGUGGGGCCCCCGGAGCCCAUCAAACCCUGCGUAACUAAGUCGUCGGAGUUUAAGUAAAUUAAACAAAACUUUCAACAACGGAUCUCUUGGUUCUGGCAUCGAUGAAGAACGCAGC